AAGGGGGACCUGCGGAGGGAUCAUUACACAAAUAUGAAGGCGGGCUGGAACCUCUCGGGGUUACAGCCUUGCUGAAUUAUUCACCCUUGUCUUUUGCGUACUUCUUGUUUCCUUGGUGGGUUCGCCCACCACUAGGACAAACAUAAACCUUUUGUAAUUGCAAUCAGCGUCAGUAACAAAUUAAUAAUUACAACUUUCAACAACGGAUCUCUUGGUUCUGGCAUCGAUGAAGAACGCAGCGAAAUGCGAUAAGUAGUGUGAAUUGCAGAAUUCAGUGAAUCAUCGAAUCUUUGAACGCACAUUGCGCCCUUUGGUAUUCCAAAGGGCAUGCCUGUUCGAGCGUCAUUUGUACCCUCAAGCUUUGCUUGGUGUUGGGCGUCUUGUCUCUAGCUUUGCUGGAGACUCGCCUUAAAGUAAUUGGCAGCCGGCCUACUGGUUUCGGAGCGCAGCACAAGUCGCACUCUCUAUCAGCAAAGGUCUAGCAUCCAUUAAGCCUUUUUUUCAACUUUUGACCUCGGAUCAGGUAGGGAUACCCGCUGAACUUAAGCAUAUCAAUAAGGCGGAGG
rnacentral:rRNA from 1 species